rnacentral:lncRNA from 1 species
CCCCUUGGGCGGGAGUUCAUGUUAGACUUAAGACUUCACACAUAAGAGGGGGAUGGGUGAAUGUCGUGGUUUGGAAAAACUUGGGUUUGAAAUACUUUGGGAAAUAAAAUUAGAGUUUAAAAUUGUUUUUAAAAAACUUAGCAGCGAAAAAUAAAGACAUAAAAUAAAAUUCAAAAAGUUAAAUAGUUAAAGAAAGAGAUGAAC